rnacentral:rRNA from 1 species
AUUGAACGCUGGCGGCAUGCCUUACACAUGCAAGUCGAACGGCAGCACGGGUGCUUGCACCUGGCGGCGAGUGGCGAACGGGUGAGUAAUACAUCGGAACAUGUCCUGUAGCGGGGGAUAGCCCGGCGAAAGCCGGAUUAAUACCGCAUACGAUCUACGGAGGAAAGCGGGGGACCUUCGGGCCUCGCGCUAUAGGGUUGGCCGAUGGCUGAUUAGCUAGUUGGUGGGGUAAAGGCCUACCAAGGCGACGAUCAGUAGCUGGUCUGAGAGGACGACCAGCCACACUGGGACUGAGACACGGCCCAGACUCCUACGGGAGGCAGCAGUGGGGAAUUUUGGACAAUGGGCGAAAGCCUGAUCCAGCAAUGCCGCGUGUGUGAAGAAGGCCUUCGGGUUGUAAAGCACUUUUGUCCGGAAAGAAAUCCUUGGCCCUAAUACGGUCGGGGGAUGACGGUACCGGAAGAAUAAGCACCGGCUAACUACGUG